rnacentral:rRNA from 1 species
CCUACGGGAGGCAGCAGUAAGGAAUAUUGGUCAAUGGAGGCAACUCUGAACCAGCCAUGCCGCGUGCAGGAAGAAGGCCCUAUGGGUCGUAAACUGCUUUUGUACCAGAGAAAACCCGAGUACGUGUACUCGGUUGAUAGUAUGGUAAGAAUAAGCAUCGGCUAACUUCGUGCCAGCAGCCGCGGUAAGACGAAGGAUGCAAGCGUUAUCCGGAUUCAUUGGGUUUAAAGGGUGCGUAGGCGGACUGAUAAGUCAGUGGUGAAAUCUCUCGGCUUAACCGAGAAACUGCCAUUGAUACUGUUAGUCUAGAGUAUAGAUGACGUUGGCGGAAUAUGACAUGUAGUGGUGAAAUACUUAGAUAUGUCAUAGAACACCGAUUGCGAAGGCAGCUAACGAAACUAUAACUGACGCUGAGGCACGAAAGUGCGGGGAUCAAACAGGAUUAGAUACCCUGGUAGUCCGCACCGUAAACGAUGAUUACUCGUUGUUGGCAAUAUGACCGUCAGCGACCAAGCGAAAGCGAUAAGUAAUCCACCUGGGGAGUACGCCGGCAACGGUUGAAACGUUAAAUUGAAUUGACGG